UGACCCAUUUCGCUCUCCCAUUGGCCCGCCGCAAGUCCAACCAUUGGCCCACGGUACCUGUCCGUUUCCGGGAGCUCAGCACCUCCCGGCAGGAGGAAGCUCCCACCUCCUUGGGUGCGCGAGGAGGUGGGUCCUGAAAGGAAAUGGAGCACUGUGCUCUGCUGCACAUGCCCAAGGGCAGAACUGCACAGAUGGCUGGAGCAAGCAUCAAGGACCUUCUGACUACUACCUAAGGCUGCCUCUUACUAGACUGGUUGUACCAAGAAUCAAAUGAGAUUAUGGAUAUCAAGUAUUCUUAAAGCACUGUGAGCAACUCCUAUAAGCCGAAUCUACAUGGUGAUGGAAGUUCUCCCCCCAACUCCCAGGGAGCCAUUUGGGCUCCAAUUGAUUGAGCCAGGUGAGAGCUCCUGGCCCAGGCUGGGUCAGUUAGAAUCUGGCC